AUAAGUAUGAUAAAUCAAUUGGUUCAUUUUAGUGUUCACAUAGAAGUGUUGAAAUAUCAAAAUGCCUACAAAACUGAAUUUGUGAAAUGAAGCGAUAUCAGGAGAAUUAGUUGAAAAUUACAAAAUCUUACGUUAUAUAAAAAAAUCCUGAAUUGAGUUCUGUUUUUCUUUUAAUCUUCACACACCGUCCUGCUCAUCAGAAAAAUUUGGUGCCGCAACUCGGGAAAAUUUUUAAAGGAUUCGCGAUAGUUUACUCACCAGGCUGCCACGUUUCAUUGCUGAUUAGAAACGCCACUUUUAACAGGUGCCGAAGCUGAACAAGAAGUGUGAGAAAGUGAAGUGGCUCUAUGGCAAACUGCACUCACACGCUACCACUUUCCACAAUGUCUACACGCCAAGGGCACCAGUCGCCAUCAUAUCUGCACUCGUGGUGAAUCCUCUGUUCCGUCGGCGUGGCAUCGCGACUGCUCUUUUGACAGCCUUCACCCACCACAACCGAACUACACGCAGAGUGAGCCUGAUGAAUGAGACCAUCUACUGCAGG